UACGUAGGGUGCGAGCGUUAAUCGGAAUUACUGGGCGUAAAGCGUGCGCAGGCGGUGAUGUAAGACCGAUGUGAAAUCCCCGGGCUUAACCUGGGAACUGCAUUGGUGACUGCAUUGCUGGAGUAUGGCAGAGGGGGGUGGAAUUCCACGUGUAGCAGUGAAAUGCGUAGAGAUGUGGAGGAACACCGAUGGCGAAGGCAGCCUCCUGGGCCAGCACUGACGCUCAUGCACGAAGCGUGGGAGCAACAGG
rnacentral:rRNA from 1 species